UGAACAAGAAAUAUACUUUAAAUGCAGGAACUCAUAACGAUAAAUGAUCGCAAACAGAAUUUGAUGGUUUUUUUAAUUGGAAAUUUUAAUUAAAAUUGAACGUUUAAUUAUAAAUGUUUGUUUGUUUUUUUUUACCGGUUGGUUUAAAUAACUUCAAACGUUUUGUGUACUCGUAUUACGACUAUCUGGCCCUGCAAUCAUUUGCUAUUGCUACGCAACUAAAUUAAAUAUAAAAUAAAACAUUUAGGCCU